rnacentral:rRNA from 1 species
CCUACGGGGGGCAGCAGUGGGGAAUAUUGGACAAUGGGGGGAACCCUGAUCCAGCCAUGCCGCGUGUGUGAAGAAGGCCCUCGGGUUGUAAAGCACUUUCAGUGAGGAAGAACGCCUGGUGGUUAAUACCCAUCAGGAAAGACAUCACUCACAGAAGAAGCACCGGCUAACUCCGUGCCAGCAGCCGCGGUAAUACGGAGGGUGUGAGCGUUAAUCGGAAUUACUGGGCGUAAAGCGCGCGUAGGUGGCUUGAUAAGCCGGUUGUGAAAGCCCCGGGCUCAACCUGGGAACGGCAUCCGGAACUGUCAAGCUAGAGUGCAGGAGAGGAAGGUAGAAUUCCCGGUGUAGCGGUGAAAUGCGUAGAGAUCGGGAGGAAUACCAGUGGCGAAGGCGGCCUUCUGGACUGACACUGACACUGAGGUGCGAAAGCGUGGGUAGCAAACAGGAUUAGAUACCCUUGUAGUC